CCGCACAUACCUCUGCAUAUAUAAUAUCUAAAACCAUGGAAAGAGGAAGUAAGAGAAUAUUUGGAGUAGGAGAAGCAAAUGGGUGACUCUAGUUCUUGUAGUUCUUCUUGUUGUAGCUACCAUGUUCACUCUGCAGCAAGGUUUGCUCACAGCAGCAGAUCACCAUGAUCUGAAUAUAGCAAGGGAACUGAGAGAAAGGCGGUCACCACCUCCUUUGCGUCCAAAAUAAUCACCACUUGCAAACCAACAGCCGGGCAUGAGAGUACCUGCUCCCGAUCCUCCUGUUGAACAACCGCCUCCGGCUGGCCCUCCUCCUCCUCCCCAGCUUCCAAUCCUAAACAACAAUAAUCUGGCCUGAACUUCUUCACAACAUUAUCUGCUAAUUGCUAUGCUUCAAGCGCCAAAUGCAGCUAUUAUGUAGUGAUUAAGCUUAGUUGCUUUGUUCAUUAAAGAUUAAUAGAUAUGCUUAAUUUACAACAAUUAAGAAGUUGAGAAUUUGCACUUUUUUUUAUUUCCCUUUGCAAGUUGGAAUAAAGGGGUAAGACUGCCACGUAUUGUAGGUUUUCUGUUUUAUUUGCUUUUAUUAGUAAAUGCAGUUUCCUUGCUGAUUUUCUUGUCA
rnacentral:sRNA from 1 species